UGCUUCUCUGCUGACGAGCGGCGGACGGGUGAGUAUGUAUGGGGAUCUGCCUGAUGGCGGGGGAUAACUACUGGAAACGGUAGCUAAUACCGCAUAAUGUCUUCGGACCAAAGCGGGGGACCUCCGGGCCUCGCGCCAUCAGAUGAACCCAUAUGGGAUUAGCUUGUAGGUGAGGUAACGGCUCACCUAGGCGACGAUCCCUAGCUGGUCUGAGAGGAUGAUCAGCCACACUGGGACUGAGACACGGCCAGACUCCUACGGGAGGCAGCAGUGGGGAAUAUUGCACAAUGGGCGCAAGCCUGAUGCAGCCAUGCCGCGUGUAUGAAGAAGGCCUUCGGGUUGUAAAGUACUUUCAGUCGGGAGGAAGGUGGUAAGGUUAAUAACCUUAUCAAUCUGACGUUACCGACAGAAGAAGCGCCGGCUAACUCCGUGCCAGCAGCCGCGGUAAUACGGAGGGUGCAAGCGUUAACUCGGAAUUACUGGGCGUAAAGCGCACGCAGGCGGUUGAUUGAGUCAGCAUGUGGAAAUCCCCCGGGGCUUUAACCCGGGGAAUUGGCUCUGAUACUGGUCCAGUAGAGUCUUGUAAAGGGGGGUUAAAUU
rnacentral:rRNA from 1 species